GACAGAGGGGACAAGCGUUGCUCGGAAUCACUGGGCGUAAAGGGCGCGUAGGCGGGAUGGCAAGUCGGUCGUGAAAUCCUUCGGCCCAACCGAAGAACGUCGGCCGAUACUGCCGUUCUUGAGGGAUGCAGAGGAGACUGGAAUUCCCGGUGUAGCGGUGAAAUGUGUAGAGAUCGGGAGGAACACCGGUGGCGAAGGCGGGUCUCUGGGCAUUUCCUGACGCUGAGGCGCGAAAGUGUGGGGAGCAAACGGG
rnacentral:rRNA from 1 species